rnacentral:misc_RNA from 1 species
CUUAUGUCCACUGCAAAAAGAACGGUUGAAUACUCCUCUAAGUUGUCAAAAACUGCCAUACUUCUUGCUCUCCAUACAUGAGCUACUAUGGCUUCAAAGCUUGUGCAAGUGAUCUGGGCUUUUCCUUUUAGUGAUUUGAUCAUUUCAGGACUGAAAGAAAAGAGCUUGUGGAUGUAUUUAAAUUUGUUAGCGAAAACCAAUGGAGAAGGAGAUAAUUGGUCUGGUGCAGUGAAGAAAGAGGCUGGAGAUGAAAUCUCGCUUAGAUUUACAUAUUCUUUGUGUGGGUAUUUAAUUAUAGGAGGAUUUCUUGCUUUUAAAUAAG